CUGGUUACAAGUUCCUGGGUGAAACAAACUGCGUGAUCUAGAACUUGUCGCUUAACAUGUCCGAGUUUUGAUUUGCACAAAUGUAAAAAGGAAUAUGGAAAUAAGUCUAUGUCAAUCCAGGGUUGAAGAUUCAAUCAUUAUAUGUAUAAAAGUGUCCGACAAUAGCUGGCUGAUUGGGUUGAAUCCUAGCUCUGUUGCUUUUAACUGUGUGACCUUGGUUAAAUUGCUCAACCACGUUGUAUUUUAAUUUCCUUAUUUGAGAGUAGGAAUGAACGGUAUUUACUUUAUAGUGUUUUGUUGGGGCUAAUAUGAGUUAAAAGAGAACACUGGAAAACAACAAUACCUCUGGUUUCUUAGAUUUUUGCAAGGAUCGCAGCUGAAAAAACAUCAAAGAAAUGAAGGAUUCUGGAAGCUCUGGUAAAAACAUAAAGGAUUCUUCGAGGCUUCUUUUCUCUUGUGAGUUCGGACAGUGCCAUUUUGACUGAGUGCGGGAGCCCUUGUCAGCUGUCCUGGGAGGGUUAACUCACACCUAGGCGGGAACCUAAUGCCAUUAAGUCAGGGAGAGUAAUGAAAUUUCAUUUAAUUUGUCAGGAAGAAAGUGCUAAUGUUAAAAGGCAUUUAAUAAAAAAGGGAGAGAUUCUUUGAAAGGGAGUCCUUAAGUAAUUACUUCAAGUGUCUUAUGCCUACUCACCAGAAUAUUUACAUUAGUGUCUUAGGGUGCCAGUGUGUAAUUAAAUUAGUGCAGCAUUUACAGUCCCUGUUUUUUUUUUUUUUUUCUUUUAAGGAAAUGUGCUUUUAUUAAUAUUCCUCCUUUAAAAAAGAGAGAAAAAAUAACGAUGUAAUCAAAUCAAAUGUUAGCAUACUUUUGUUUGUGAAAAUUUCUUACUAAGAGAAUUGUUGAGUUAAAGUUGCAGGUGUGUGCAAGUGUUGGGAAGAAGCGCUGAUUCCAGGCAGAGUGGCUGUGCUCCCUCCUCAUCUCCACUCACAGAAAUGCUAUCUUUUAUCUACUCGGACCUGACAUGGAGAUUCAGGUCAGCAGCCAGAGACUGUCAGCAUAUUGCAGUGGAUACCCCUGCCUAGUCCGGAUUCUCUUUGCAACUUGUCUGCAAGGCAAGGAGGGAUACAGAUGUGCGAGUGAGGGGAAGUCCGCAGGAAGCCGGGUGAGGCAGGCUCAUCCCUCAUCACUCCGUGCGCACAGAGCAGCUCAGGCUCUCACCGGCAAUAGCAAGAGGAGUUAACUAACGUGCUGGGAGUGGGGGACGGCCCAUGGGACACGACUGAAUGCAUUUGUACCUCUACAGGCAAGUCACAUUGAGGAAAAUGAUUCUUAAACAUUUCUUUGGAAGUAACUGCUGCUGUUUUCCAGAUUAAUUUAUGGACAUCCUAGUGAAUGAGUCUGUGCACUGAUAUCACACAAAUGUUUUCCUUUUAUCAGGUCUGUCUUCCAAGGGGUGUGGGCAAGAGCAUAGGCUGCUGAUUGGAGACAAAAUAAAUAAGUCCUCAACUGUAGGGUGAAUAAAGAAGGUGUAUUAUACUCCCUCUACAAGCAAGAAUCCUGAUGUCUAGAGAGGGCGUUUUAAAGAUAAAUGGUAAAACUGAACUGGAAAUCCAUCUGGCCGGCUGCCUGCUCUAAUGAAUAACCCCACUUUGGCUCGUGCAAUGACUUCUUCCCUUUGGAAAGCAGUGUGGUGGCAGUGUCAAGAAUGCCUGUGUGUUUGCAGCAGGUUCCUUCCAGAAGCAGCUGGAAGUGCCACCUCCAGGCCAUCUGGCCAGUGUGAGGAAAAGAGGCUGCAAGGGCUUGGCAAGAAACAACUUUCUGCUCCUCUGGUAUCCCCUGAUAACUGAUUUCAAGUUAUAACCAAGGACUUCCUUAUCGCUAUCAGUGGCUGUCAAAAAUUUAUAAGCAUAUUCAUUUCCCUAUUCAACUUAAUUGGUAUUUUGGAUUUGACACUAGAAAAGCAAGUUUGACUUGCCUGUUGGAGUCCAAGGAUAUCUCCAACAGAAUUCUAGACAAUGAAAGAAAGGUUCCCUUAUCUCUAAAAUGGAGCUAAUAUCAAAGUUUUUGAAACCAUGAAAAGAAUUAAUGCACAUUAAGUCCUUAAGAGAGUUCCUGAUGUAAAUUGUGGACCUGGGGUGACAACGGUGUGUCAAUGGUUAGGUUCAUGGAAGGAAUUUUUUUUCCUGAUGGUCGUGAGAACGCUGUCAAGAUUUUGUUGCUCAAAUAUGAUCAGAACAUGCAUUUGUCGUUUGCACACUUUUUCUUGGAAGGAAAUGGAGAGGAACUGUAAACAUGGAGAAACGCAGAAAACUCCAAAUGCUGGAGUUGGAGUUGGCUUAUAUAGGAAAGCCUCUGCAUAUUGAAACAAAUCAGGGAGACUGGGUCAGGCCAUGCAAGAGAGCACAGCACAUUCUCAUCUUUUACUUCUUCUGAAAUUGGAAGUACAGGAUUCUGAAAUGCUGGUAGAUUAAACGAGAACAACAAGCAUCUUAUUGCCUCAAGGAACUUAAUGUUUUGCAGCCACAGGGCAGGAUUCCGAUAUCAUACUUUAUUAUCACAAACUAAAGUCAAGAAAGAAAGAAGUUUUGAGAAUGCCUGGAUUGGUAUGUUUUCAAUAAAUAAUACAACUCUUACUGUGUGAAAUGAAAGGCAGAUCGUGGGAAAAUGUAUGAUUCUAUUUAUAGUCAAAUUUAAAUUAUCUGAUUAUAGGACAAAAUUAGGAGAGACUUUAAACCUGCCCUUUUAGUGCCUAAUUUGCCACUAAAAAUAGUAAAACUACUCACAUUUGAUAAGCAAUCUGUCUUGUUAUUUGUUGUCCUAUGAACUAUGAAAAAGAACUAAGAAAAAUUCCCUUCCUUCUUUUUUCUUUUCAUAAAACUCAAUCCAAGGCCUGCAUAUUAUAUUCACAUUUUUCUUGUGUGCUUCCUUUUGUAUGUUUUGGCCACACUGGUGGAAUUUUCUAUGAUAAGAGGACCACCAAUCCAGUAUGCGUGGUGUGGGGUUGGCCCAUUGAGUGGGCCUCACUGGGCCUCCGGGGAAGAGGGCCAGGAAUUCACAGGGCUUGAUUACCACCAGGACUUUUUCUGCUUUUAAGUUAACUAUGUUCUUCCUGGUAAAUCAACGCCUCGACUUUGGAGAUUUAACAUCAGCUCUGUGAUUGAGCAGAAACUCUGAAAAGAAGAUGUCCCAGCAAUGCCUACCUGAACUUUCCCCAAGCUUGUUAUAAGGAAAAUAAGAAGGUGUCCCGAGAAAGGGAGUCAUUGGAUGUGGAACCACCAGGGGGACUUAAAUAUUAUUAAACCAGCUUCCAUGGUGACAUAUGUAAACAAAAGUAAAAGCAUCUUUAUACAUACAAGAUAAACAUCAUUUAGCUUUUCAUUGUGUGUCCCUAACACUUGCAUCUGCCUGCUGUGCAUAUUUUCUUUUUAAAAAAGCAUAAAAUUAAAUUUACCAGGACUCAUCCAA